CCUACGGGAGGCAGCAGUGGGGAAUAUUGCACAAUGGGGGCAACCCUGAUGCAGCGACGCCGCGUGAGUGAAGAAGUAUUUCGGUAUGUAAAGCUCUAUCAGCAGGGAAGAAGAAAGACGGUACCUGACUAAGAAGCCCCGGCUAACUACGUGCCAGCAGCCGCGGUAAUACGUAGGGGGGAAGCGUUAUCCGGAUUUACUGGGUGGAAAGGGAGUGUAGACGGCGGUGCAAGUCUGAAGUGAAAGCCCAGGGCUCAACCCUGGGACUGCUUUGGAAACUGUGGAGCUAGAGUGCUGGAGAGGUAAGUGGAAUUCCUAGUGUAGCGGUGAAAUGCGUAGAUAUUAGGAGGAACACCAGUGGCGAAGGCGGCUUACUGGACAGUAACUGACGUUGAGGCUCGAAAGCGUGGGGAGCAAACAGGAUUAGAUACCCUUGUAGUG
rnacentral:rRNA from 1 species